UACGAAGGGGGCUAGCGUUGUUCGGAAUUACUGGGCGUAAAGGGCUCGUAGGCGGCCAACUAAGUCAGACGUGAAAUCCCUCGGCUUAACCGGGGAACUGCGUCUGAUACUGGAUGGCUUGAAUCCGGGAGAGGGAUGCGGAAUUCCAGGUGUAGCGGUGAAAUGCGUAGAUAUCUGGAGGAACACCGGUGGCGAAGGCGGCAUCCUGGACCGGCAUUGACGCUGAGGAGCGAAAGCCAGGGGAGCAAACGGG
rnacentral:rRNA from 1 species